AAAAUAACCUGGUAAAUGCGAUUUAAGGAAGGAAGGAAUUAUUCUGACUCCAGUCUGAGGGUACAGUCCGUCGUGGUCGGAAAAGAAAGCGUGGCAACGGACACGCGAGGCAGUCUGGGCGUAAGUCCAUGAAAUGGUGGCACCCCCAGUUCGGGUGAGUCCUUCCAUCUCAACUGACCUAAGGAGCAUCACACUCGCACCUAGAAGCUCGUCUCCUGGGGGAUUCUAGGUGCUGUUGUCAAGCUGACAGUCCAUAUUCAUCACGACACGAGUGGACACUGCAUCGAAUAGCACAGGAUAAUCCCAGAACUUGGGAGGAAAAGGCAGACGGAUCUCUGUGAGUUCGAGGCCAGCAGGGCGUGAGCGCUUGGCUUCCUCCUGUUCCUGCGGCCGUGCCUGCUGAAUGUUGCCAUUCCUUUCCGCCAUGAGGAACUCUUACCCCUUCAGAACU